UUAAAUGAAUUGACGGGGCCCGCACAAGCGGGGAACAUGUGGUUUAAUUCGAUGAUACGCGAGGAACCUUACCUGGGUUUAAAUGGGGAGUGACAGCUGUCGAAAGAUGGUUUUCUUCGGACACUCUUCAAGGUGCUGCAUGGUUGUCGUCAGCUCGUGCCGUGAGGUGUCGGGUUAAGUCCCAUAACGAGCGCAACCCACGUCGUUAGUUGCCAACAGGUCAAGCUGGGAACUCUAACGAGACUGCCGGUGUAAACCGCGAGGAGGUGUGGAUGACGUCAAAUCAGCACGGCCCUUACAUCCAGGGCUACACACGUGUUACAAUGGUCGGUACAGAGGGCAGCUACCAGGCAACUGGAUGCGAAUCUCAAAAACCGGUCUCAGUUCGGAUUGGAGUCUGCAACCCGACUCCAUGAAGCUGGAUUCGCUAGUAAUCGCGCAUCAGCCAUGGCGCGGUGAAUACGUUCCCGGGCCUU
rnacentral:rRNA from 1 species